AGCGAUGUAGCCUAACGGUAAGGCAAGGUAACAGAUGCAGGUUCGACUCCUGCCAUCGUUA
rnacentral:tRNA from 1 species